rnacentral:rRNA from 1 species
GGAAGUAAAAGUGUAACAAGCUUUCCGUAGGUGAACCUGCGGAAGGAUCAUU